AUUGUAUGAAGAAUUAUGAAAAUAGCCCAAGAAUUGAAACAAUUUUACAAGAGAUAUGAACAUUCUCAGCGGCUUUCCACACGAUUUUCUUUUGCUACCCCUAUUCUAUUUAUUCCUCUUCUCUGCACAUUGAAUUUCGCGGCAUUCUCUCUUUCGCUGAUCACUUUUCACCUUUUUUCUCAACAAUCCUUCUUAUUGAACCAUAUUAGUUGGGGAGCAUGGAAACAGAUGUGGGUGUGUCCACCAGUGAGUAAGCUGUUUCAGGAAGCUAAUGGAAGUACUGUUCAGAAGAAGCCUACAGUUGUGUUUGUGUUAGGUGGCCCUGGUAGUGGAAAGGGCACACAAUGUGCAUGCAUUGUUGAGCACUUUGGUUUUACUCAUUUUAGUGCUGGUGAUCUUCUUAGGGCAGAAAUUAAAUCUGGUUCUGAAAAUGGUUUAAUGAUCAAAAGUAUGAUUGGUGAAGGGAAGAUUGUUCCUUCUGAGGUAACAGUAAAGCUUCUCCAGAAAGCAAUGGAGGAAAGUGGUAAUGACAAAUUUCUUAUAGAUGGUUUUCCACGUAAUGAUGAAAACCGUGCUGCUUUUGAGGCUGUUACCGGUAUAGAACCAGCUUUUGUCCUGUUUUUUGAUUGCCCUGAAGAGGAGAUGGAGAGGCGCAUCUUACACAGGAAUCAGGGAAGAGAUGAUGAUAAUAUUGAGACAAUUCGAAAGCGUUUCAAGGUUUUCUUAGAGUCUAGUCUCCCUGUAGUUCAGUUUUAUGAAUCUAUUGGGAAAGUACAUAAGAUUGAUGCUGCAAGGCCAGUUGAAGAAGUAUUUGAGUCAGUUAAAGCUGUUUUUACAUCUGUAAAUGAGAAGGUGCUGUAUUAGACCAUCGGUUGGGACUGCAAAGAAUUCUGAGAAUGACAUAAUAGGUUCCGCCUGCAGUUUCAAUGCCCCAUUUUAUCCGAUUAGAUCCAACUAAGUAAAGUAGGCAAACAACCAAAGAAGGCAUCUCUUGAAAGUGUAACUGUAUGAACUUUGAUGACUGAGAGUCUUGCUUCUAUACCAAUGCCAUUCAUGUUAUUCUCUAUUGAGGUAAUUCCCCCUAGGGAAUAAGUUCCAAGAAUUCUUUGUUAGAGGCUUUUUAUAUAUACUGAUUGAGGCAACAGUUGAAAUAUCAACUAUUAGAAUAUACGGAAGUAUAUUCUUCAUUGUACUUGGAGGGUUCUAUACAAAACUAUGCAAUAUGGUAGCAGGUAGAUAAUAUUUCAAAGGAGUGUUCCGAUAUGUGGCUAAUCUCUCUUCAACUUUUCCAUUGUUUUCCCCAUUGGUUUUUGAUAACUUAUGACUUGAUGUAUGGUGGUGAUCACAUGCCUUGCAGAUUCCUCCUUUAGUUGACAAUCAUGCAAUGUACAUUAUAUAUUCGAUUUAAAUAUGUUACCCUAUUCCAAUGCCUUUUAGGAUUUCAGGGACUGAAAA